CUGGUCCUACGGGAGGCAGCAGUGGGGGAUAUUGCACAAUGGGGGAAACCCUGAUGCAGCGACGCCGCGUGUGGGAAGACGAUCCUCUGGAUUGUAAACCACUGUCCCCAGGGACGAAGAUGACGGUACCUGGGGAGGAAGCUCCGGCUAACUACGUGCCAGCAGCCGCGGUAAUACGUAGGGAGCGAGCGUUGUCCGGAAUUACUGGGUGUAAAGGGAGCGUAGGCGGGACUGCAAGUUGGGUGUCAAAUCUACCGGCUCAACCGGGAGCCGCACUCAAAACUGCAGGUCUUGAG
rnacentral:rRNA from 1 species